AAAAUGUGGAGUAGCUGUAAUAAAUCUACUCCUGUAUUAUGCUUUACAGUGCAGGUCUUAGUUUUUCUUUUUUCUCAUUUCUUUUGAAAUGGCAUCUCGAACAAAGUCCACCAAUCCCUUUACAAAAGAAUGAACUGCUCCUCUGUGUGUACUUCAUAGAAGGUUAGUGACAGUUAUUCCUGAAAUACAGGAGCAGAGUACAGUCUGUUGUGGUUUCCCGGAUUCCGCGCCUAGCUCAGCCAAUUAAGCAUGAGACAUAGGCCAUUGAGCCACUUAGUAGUUAUGCGAGUGGAUAGAUUGGUAUGUAGAGGGAAAGAGGUCUGCUGUAAAGAACAACACUUGUUUGUCUGUGGGGAAAGAAAAGCAGAAUACUUGAGAUGAAAGUUGGCAUACAAAUAGGAUACUAUCGCCAGUAGUUAUAUUACAAACAUUAUCGGCCUUUCUAGUGUGAAUGAACAUUAGACACAUUAUUGUCAUUCCUAGUUUAAAGUUAAGGUUGCGUGGUUGGAUUUUUCCACUAUCUUUUUCUAAUUUUUCUACCAUUUGGAGACCGUAGGCAUUUGGGCCUGUCACCCCUUGGAUGGGUUCCUAGUUUGUUUACAUUUUCCUGAACCCUCCUGAGCGCCCGUUCUUGGUCUAAUCCCCAGUCGUGAUGAUUCCACACUUCCUCAGCCGCAUGUUGUCUUGCCUCAUUCAUGAGCUGGUCAGCGUUUCGUCUCUUUAACUGACAUGUUCCCCAGUGCUGUUUGAACUGUUGAGUUUCCGUUGCUGGCUGAGUGCGUUUUGUCCUUCACGUAACCUUCGCUGGUAAAAAUAAGCCCAUGUGAUGUCCACCAGUGGAUGAAUGCUGGACCGAGAGCCCUAGCUUCUGGAUCCAGGUCUAGGCCCUUCAUCUGCUGCUCUGUGGCCCAGGGCAGGUUUGCUUGACCUCUGCCUCAGUUCUCGACUCUAAAGGACAUACUGACCUACCUCACAGGGGUGUUGUGAGGAUUAAUAAAUGUUGGUACUCUGCUUUGGA
rnacentral:lncRNA from 1 species